CAAAAUACUGUAACUUCUUGCACAAACAAGCAUUUUUAAAAACUAUACCACAAGUUCUACCCUCUGGACUGAAUGAGGGAGUUUAGUUUUAAGCUGCCUUUAGCAAUAU